UGGUCUAUGACCUCACUCUCGGUGCCCCACCUCUUAUUACAGAUUGAACAGGGUCCAGGGGGAAGGACCAAGCCUGUCCCAUCGGCCAUCCUAUGUGUCAUGUCCUGGGACCCAGUGGAUGCUCAGCACCUGAAGAAGAAGAUUGUCUUAGACACAUGAAAGGUGAGGACGCCUACUGUCCCCUCGGAACCCAGGUGGGGCUGGGAGUCUGCUGUUUGUACAGCUGGUGGGCUCGUGUUGCUUUGGGCAUCCCUGUGCCUGAAUUCCUGCAGUACACUUGGUGGUUUUACCUGAACCACCAGCUUCUGUAUCUCUGAAGACAGAUGAUGAGGACCCUUCACGUAAGCCGUUGGCACAGCCCUGUGCAGGCCUCUGUGCUGCACGGUCUGCCCAGCGAGGUGACCGAG